CAACCUGAACUCAGUCGUGAUUACCCGCUGAACUUAAGCAUAUCAUUUAGCGGAGGAAAAGAAACUAAAAAGGAUUCCCCUAGUAACGGCGAGUGAAACGGGAAGAGCCCAGCGCCGAAUCGAUCAGUCUUUGGCUGCUUCGAAAUGUGGCGUAUAGGUGUAGUCUUCCAGCAGUGUCGUAUGUCCGAAGUCCUUGCGAUUGAGGCCAUAAACCAGAGAGGGUGCGAGCCCCGUUCUGGAUAGCGGCGCUGUUGGUUCGACUGCUCCUUGGAGUCGGGUUGCUUGAAAGUGCAGCCUAAAGUGGGUGAUAAACUUCAUCUAAGGCUAAAUAUUGACUCGAUUGCGAUAGCGAACAAGUACCGUGAGGGAAAGUUGCAAAGGACUUUGAAGAGAGAGUUCAAGAGAACGUGAAAUCGCUGGAGUGGAACCGGAGACAGUUGAUGUUGCUUGGAGACAAUCUUGGUGGCUGAUCGCUUAGCUGUGAUCGCCGCCGGGAGUCGUUUCCUAUGCUACGCCGACGGCGUUGGCCGCUCGUUCUGGCCCGACAGUGUUGCCCAUCUCGCAAGAGACGGUGUCUUGUUGUCGGUCGUUGGUUCGUGGUGGCUAGCGUUUAGUUACGCUAGUGUGUGUGACGUCGGUGUGAAAGUCGACGACGUUU
rnacentral:ncRNA from 1 species